rnacentral:rRNA from 1 species
UCUUUUUUGGUUUAGUCCAAGCGGAUGACGGGAGCUUGCUCCUUGAUUCAGCGGCGGACGGGUGACUAAUGCCUAGGAAUCUGCCUGGUAGUGGGGGACAACGUUUCGAAAGGAACGCUAAUACCGCAUACGUCCUACGGGAGAAAGCAGGGGACCUUCGGGCCUUGCGCUAUCAGAUGAGCCUAGGUCGGAUUAGCUAGUUGGUGAGGUAAUGGCUCACCAAGGCGACGAUCCGUAACUGGUCUGAGAGGAUGAUCAGUCACACUGGAACUGAGACACGGUCCAGACUCCUACGGGAGGCAGCAGUGGGGAAUAUUGGACAAUGGGCGAAAGCCUGAUCCAGCCAUGCCGCGUGUGUGAAGAAGGUCUUCGGAUUGUAAAGCACUUUAAGUUGGGAGGAAGGGCAGUAAGUUAAUACCUUGCUGUUUUGACGUUACCGACAGAAUAAGCACCGGCUAACUCUGUGCCAGCAGCCGCGGUAAUACAGAGGGUGCAAGCGUUAAUCGGAAUUACUGGGCGUAAAGCGCGCGUAGGUGGUUCGUUAAGUUGGAUGUGAAAGCCCCGGGCUCAACCUGGGAACUGCAUCCAAAACUGGCGAGCUAGAGUACGGUAGAGGGUGGUGGAAUUUCCUGUGUAGCGGUGAAAUGCGUAGAUAUAGGAAGGAACACCAGUGGCGAAGGCGACCACCUGGACUGAUACUGACACUGAGGUGCGAAGCGUGGGGAGCAACAGGAUUAGAUACCCUGGUAGUCCACGCCGUAAACGAUGUCAACUAGCCGUUGGGAUUCCUUGAGAUUUUAGUGCGCAGCUAACGCAUUAAGUUGACCGCCUGGGGAGUACGGCCGCAAGGUUAAACUCAAAUGAAUUGACGGGGGCCCGCACAAGCGAUGGAGCAUUGUGUUUUAUUCGAAGC